rnacentral:lncRNA from 1 species
AUAUAUAUAUAUUCCCUACGAAUUAUUGUAGUAUGAUAUGAUAUGAGGACAAACUAGUCAUAUUACUACUAUUAUAGUUCUCUCUAUUUCUUAAACUACUUAAUUAGACCUCUAAUUAUAAAUAAGUUAGUAUUAACAAUAUUAGUUCUAACAGAUCAACUAUUUCAAUGUUUUUCUAUGGAAACACGCUUAUUAAAUAUUGCAAGGAUAGAUAUAUAAAGUGAGAGAUGCCAUAAUAGGAAAAGGGUUUGAGCUAGGAGGACAAGUUGUCGCAAGAAUUAAUUCAGUAUAACGAAUUAACUUAAAUACAAAAGGAAAGGAGAAUUCUCCAUUGGGGCCAUUUAUUUUACAAGAGAAGGCAAAGGAAAAAAAAACUUAAUUGCUCUUAUUUCAAGUUUGAAGGUAAGCUUCCGACUCUUUUACACUUACUUGAAGAUAUAAGUACGUACUGUUUGUCUAGAGUUCUGCAUGUUAUUCGCCAUAUAUAUUUUUUGUGCCUUUUGAUAUAGUAUAUGAUCUUUAUCUCGGUUCUUGUAGUAAAUAUUGAAUCAUCAUCAUUGUCAUAAA